rnacentral:rRNA from 1 species
CGUGGCUAACCUGCCCUUGGGACGGGGACACCCCCGGGAAACUGGGGCUAAUCCCCGAUAGGUGAAGAUUCCUGGAAUGGGUUUUUGCCGAAAAGACGUUUAGGGCAUGCUUCUAAGCGUUGCCCAAGGAUGGGGCCGCGGCCGAUCAGGUUGUUGGUGAGGUAAUGGCUCACCAAGCCUUUAACCGGUUCGGGCCGUGGGAGCGGUAGCCCGGAGAUGGGCACUGAGACAAGGGCCCAGGCCCUACGGGGCGCAGCAGUCGCGAAAACUUCGCAAUAAGCGAAAGCUUGACGGGGCCAUCCCGAGUGCCAUCUGCUGAGGAUGGCUUUUACCCAGUGUAGAUAGCUGGGGGAAUAAGGAGAGGGCAAGUCUGGUGUCAGCCGCCGCGGUAAUACCAGCUCUCCGAGUUGUGGGGACGUUUAUUGAGCCUAAAGCAUCCGUAGCCGGCUGGGCAAGUCCUCUGUUAAAUCCAGCGACAAAUCGUUGGCCUGCGGGGGAUACUGCUCGGCUAGGGGGCGGGAGAGGCCGUCGGUAUUCUUGGGGUAGGGGUGAAAUCCUAUAAUCCCAAGAGGACCACCAGUGGCGAAGGCUGUCGGCUAGAACGCGCCCGACGGUGAGGGAUGAAAGCUGGGGGAGCGAACCGGAUUAGAUACCCGGGUAGUCCCAGCUGU